ensembl:lncRNA
CAGGUGUAUGAACCGCACCCAACAAACUAGCUCACUCCCGUUGCUCAACAGCUCCAUGAAUACACAUAUGUGCUUAUCAGCAAGGUAAACAGGGUUUGAAGGAGAUUACAACGGCAGCUACAAGCAGAAGGAUCGAAAGGGGAAAAGAGGUAAAGCAUUUUGAGGACAGCAGCAACAUCCCUGCUGGCGAUGGGAAUGGUGGCCUGGCUCCUUCGACCCACCUUGGGAGCUCAAACAAAUCCGUGGAGUGUGUGAGUGAGGCCAUGCCUUGUGGCUGCUGUUAUAAAAUACCUUUAAUGAGGCAAGGCUCCCACACCUGUAGUGAGCCCUGUUCCCAUCCGUCUCUCCUCUUCUUCACGUCUGUCCCUGAAGUUCACGCGCAGUCACCAAUCCCUAGAGAGACAGCCAGUUGUUCAGUCUCCUUGCUUCUGGCCACAGCUACACGCCCCGUUCCACAAGGAGAAGCUGGACCGAUUCCUACAAACGCAACAUGGGUCACGUGCCCAGAGCCGGCACUCCACUGACCUCUCAAGGGACUGGAAAGGAAACCCCAAUUCCAAGCCAUUCAACGACUUCGUUUUUGCCAGCUUCUGACCACACGGUGUAUAACCUUAGGCCUCCCGAGGCUCCAAUGCUACCAGCCCCCUUCCCUUCCCAGUGCACACUGGGCACACCCACUUCUUAGACAGGAUACACUGACUGGAUGUACCUACUGGAAGCCUGGUUUUGUGGUUUCUGUGUCUCUUCCCUACCUGUGGUUAUCAGCACAUGCAUGCAGUGCCCACGUGGGACAGAAGAGAAUGCUACAUCCCCUGGGACUGAGAUGACAGCCAGGUGUGAACUUCCGCAUGAGGACUAGGGAACAAAUCUCUGCCAGAGAGGAAGUGCUCUUAUCCACUGAGCUACCUCUCCAGCCCAGGGGGGAAGGGUUUUCAUACAUCAUUUAUUACUAAUGUUAAAGAACUUCACGUUUGACUGGGCUCUGACAUUUCUAAUCCAUGUUCAAGGCUAUGACUAGCACGAUGCCUCCGUGGCUGGCUUGCGUAUCGC